rnacentral:rRNA from 1 species
UUAAGCGACUAAGCGUACACGGUGGAUGCCCUGGCAGUCAGAGGCGAUGAAGGACGUGCUAAUCUGCGAUAAGCGUCGGUAAGGUGAUAUGAACCGUUAUAACCGGCGAUUUCCGAAUGGGGAAACCCAGUGUGAUUCGUCACACUAUCAUUAACUGAAUCCAUAGGUUAAUGAGGCGAACCGGGGGAACUGAAACAUCUAAGUACCCCGAGGAAAAGAAAUCAACCGAGAUUCCCCCAGUAGCGGCGAGCGAACGGGGAGCAGCCCAGAGCCUGAAUCAGUGUGUGUGUUAGUGGAAGCGUCUGGAAAGGCGCGCGAUACAGGGUGACAGCCCCGUACACAAAAAUGCACAUGCUGUGAGCUCGAUGAGUAGGGCGGGACACGUGGUAUCCUGUCUGAAUAUGGGGGGACCAUCCUCCAAGGCUAAAUACUCCUGACUGACCGAUAGUGAACCAGUACCGUGAGGGAAAGGCGAAAAGAACCCCGGCGAGGGGAGUGAAAAAGAACCUGAAACCGUGUACGUACAAGCAGUGGGAGCACAGAGCAAUCUGUGUGACUGCGUACCUUUUGUAUAAUGGGUCAGCGACUUAUAUUCUGUAGCAAGGUUAACCGAAUAGGGGAGCCGAAGGGAAACCGAGUCUUAACUGGGCGUUAAGUUGCAGGGUAUAGACCCGAAACCCGGUGAUCUAGCCAUGGGCAGGUUGAAGGUUGGGUAACACUAACUGGAGGACCGAACCGACUAAUGUUGAAAAAUUAGCGGAUGACUUGUGGCUGGGGGUGAAAGGCCAAUCAAACCGGGAGAUAGCUGGUUCUCCCCGAAAGCUAUUUAGGUAGCGCCUCGUGAAUUCAUCUCCGGGGGUAGAGCACUGUUUCGGCAAGGGGGUCAUCCCGACUUACCAACCCGAUGCAAACUGCGAAUACCGGAGAAUGUUAUCACGGGAGACACACGGCGGGUGCUAACGUCCGUCGUGAAGAGGGAAACAACCCAGACCGCCAGCUAAGGUCCCAAAGUCAUGGUUAAGUGGGAAACGAUGUGGGAAGGCCCAGACAGCCAGGAUGUUGGCUUAGAAGCAGCCAUCAUUUAAAGAAAGCGUAAUAGCUCACUGGUCGAGUCGGCCUGCGCGGAAGAUGUAACGGGGCUAAACCAUGCACCGAAGCUGCGGCAGCGACGCUGAUGCGUUGUUGGGUAGGGGAGCGUUCUGUAAGCCUGCGAAGGUGUGCUGUGAGGCAUGCUGGAGGUAUCAGAAGUGCGAAUGCUGACAUAAGUAACGAUAAAGCGGGUGAAAAGCCCGCUCGCCGGAAGACCAAGGGUUCCUGUCCAACGUUAAUCGGGGCAGGGUGAGUCGACCCCUAAGGCGAGGCCGAAAGGCGUAGUCGAUGGGAAACAGGUUAAUAUUCCUGUACUUGGUGUUACUGCGAAGGGGGGACGGAGAAGGCUAUGUUGGCCGGGCGACGGUUGUCCCGGUUUAAGCGUGUAGGCUGGUUUUCCAGGCAAAUCCGGAAAAUCAAGGCUGAGGCGUGAUGACGAGGCACUACGGUGCUGAAGCAACAAAUGCCCUGCUUCCAGGAAAAGCCUCUAAGCAUCAGGUAACAUCAAAUCGUACCCCAAACCGACACAGGUGGUCAGGUAGAGAAUACCAAGGCGCUUGAGAGAACUCGGGUGAAGGAACUAGGCAAAAUGGUGCCGUAACUUCGGGAGAAGGCACGCUGAUAUGUAGGUGAAGUCCCUCGCGGAUGGAGCUGAAAUCAGUCGAAGAUACCAGCUGGCUGCAACUGUUUAUUAAAAACACAGCACUGUGCAAACACGAAAGUGGACGUAUACGGUGUGACGCCUGCCCGGUGCCGGAAGGUUAAUUGAUGGGGUCAGCGCAAGCGAAGCUCUUGAUCGAAGCCCCGGUAAACGGCGGCCGUAACUAUAACGGUCCUAAGGUAGCGAAAUUCCUUGUCGGGUAAGUUCCGACCUGCACGAAUGGCGUAAUGAUGGCCAGGCUGUCUCCACCCGAGACUCAGUGAAAUUGAACUCGCUGUGAAGAUGCAGUGUACCCGCGGCAAGACGGAAAGACCCCGUGAACCUUUACUAUAGCUUGACACUGAACAUUGAGCCUUGAUGUGUAGGAUAGGUGGGAGGCUUUGAAGUGUGGACGCCAGUCUGCAUGGAGCCGGCCUUGAAAUACCACCCUUUAAUGUUUGAUGUUCUAACGUUGACCCGUAAUCCGGGUUGCGGACAGUGUCUGGUGGGUAGUUUGACUGGGGCGGUCUCCUCCUAAAGAGUAACGGAGGAGCACGAAGGUUGGCUAAUCCUGGUCGGACAUCAGGAGGUUAGUGCAAUGGCAUAAGCCAGCUUGACUGCGAGCGUGACGGCGCGAGCAGGUGCGAAAGCAGGUCAUAGUGAUCCGGUGGUUCUGAAUGGAAGGGCCAUCGCUCAACGGAUAAAAGGUACUCCGGGGAUAACAGGCUGAUACCGCCCAAGAGUUCAUAUCGACGGCGGUGUUUGGCACCUCGAUGUCGGCUCAUCACAUCCUGGGGCUGAAGUAGGUCCCAAGGGUAUGGCUGUUCGCCAUUUAAAGUGGUACGCGAGCUGGGUUUAGAACGUCGUGAGACAGUUCGGUCCCUAUCUGCCGUGGGCGCUGGAGAACUGAGGGGGGCUGCUCCUAGUACGAGAGGACCGGAGUGGACGCAUCACUGGUGUUCGGGUUGUCAUGCCAAUGGCACUGCCCGGUAGCUAAAUGCGGAAGAGAUAAGUGCUGAAAGCAUCUAAGCACGAAACUUGCCCCGAGAUGAAUUCUCCCUGACUCCUUGAGAGUCCUGAAGGAACGUUGAAGACGACGACGUUGAUAGGCCGGGUGUGUAAGCGCAGCGAUGCGUUGAGCUAACCGGUACUAAUGAACCGUGAGGCUUAACCUU